rnacentral:rRNA from 1 species
UACAGGGGGGGCAAGCGUUGUUCGGAAUUACUGGGCGUAAAGGGCUCGUAGGUGGCCGACUAAGUCAGACGUGAAAUCCCUCAGCUUAACUGGGGAACUGCGUCUGAUACUGGAUGGCUUGAGUUUGGGAGAGGGAUGCGGAAUUCCCGGUGUAGAGGUGAAAUUCGUAGAUAUCGGGAGGAACACCGGUGGCGAAGGCGGCGACCUGGGUUGACACUGACGCUGAGGCGCGAAAGCGUGGGGAGCAAACAGG